AUCUUUAUCUAUGGUAGCAAUUCUUUUCAUUUCACUUUGGAACUCUCUCCCGCAACAUUUCGGGGAAGAAACAAAAUUGAAUCAGAUCAAAAAGUUGAUCAAUGCCUGGAUUGGGGAGAGCUGCACAUGCAUUGCCAGUUCUAGCUAUUGAUUUGCUGCUUUAUGCUCUAAUGCUUUCUAUUCUAUGUGCUUCAUAAUAAUGCUAGUUAAUGCGGAAUUUUUGUCUGUCUGUUCAUAUUUAAUUGUGAAAUACAAGCCGAUUUUUUACAGAAUUUAUAUAGGUAUAUAAUAAAAGUAAAUAUGAGACUAUACUUGUGCGUUCCUUUCAAUCACAAAUUGUUAAAUAAUGAUUGAUUUAAAAACAGAUUUUAUAAUUAUGUAAGACGAAAGUGCUUAAGCUUAAGUUGUCUAAUUACUUUUGUGUCUAAUUACCCUUUUCUUUCUAAUUGCUCUUAUAUAUAGCUUGUUGAUAUAAUCGGCUUCAAGGAGAGCAAGGAGGGUCGUUGUAUUGUGUAUAAAUUUGAUAGAGAGAAUAUUACAUUUUCAUUUACCAGCUAUUAGUUAAUUUUAGUUUUGUAGCAAAAUUUUGUCUAUUUUGACUAUAUGUCGAAGCAUAGCGAUGUAGAAUUUUGAAGUAGUCAAUUAUGUGUAACAUGUGUUGUUGUUUUCGUCUAGCAAGGAUAUAAGAAAUCUUAUCUUGUCAGUUUUGUAAUUGGCCGUAUAAAGUUUUCAGUAAGAUAUCGAUUUAAAGUAGAAUUUUGAGGCAAUAAACUUUGUGUAACAUAUGUUGUUGUUUUCGUCUGGCAAGAAUAUGAGAAAUCUUUUGCAACAUAUGUUGUUGUUUUCGUCUACUCAAUGAUAUAAGAAAUCUUAUCUUGUCAGUUUUGUAAUUGGCCGUAUAAAGUUUUCAGUAAGAUAUCGAUUUAAAGUAGAAUUUUGAGGCAAUAAACUUUGUGUAACAUAUGUUGUUGUUUUCGUCUGGCAAGGAUAUGAGAAAUCUUUUGUAACAUAUGUUGUUGUUUUCGUCUACUCAAGGAUAUAAGAAAUCUUAUCUUGUCAGUUUUGUAAUUGGCCGUAUAAAAUUUUCGGGUCAGGAUCCAUGCUGUUCGCUAACGAAUUCUCUGAUUACAAUACGCUUUAAAAGCGAACAGCAUGGAUCCCGACCAGACUGCGCAGAUGCGCAGGCUGGUCUGGAUCCAUGCUGGUCGCAAAGCCACUAUGUUGGUUUUCUCAUGGCGUGGCUCAAGUGUUUUAUUGAAAUAACGGACACCAUAAAUGUUUACAAACGCAUCUGCAUAGUUUACAUUUUUAAGAGUGUAACACCUUGUCUCGUGUCUUAGUAUUGAUUGAAAUAUAACUGCGUAUUGUAUAGCAGAAUUUCAUUGUUUUAAACAGAAGGAUAUUCAUUGUUUUGCUAUGGAACGGGAACGGGAAACAUAGUGAAUUAUAAAUAAUCAUAACUCCUUUCGAGAUACCAUCCUGCUAAUAGGUGAAUCCUGUUUCAUUUCCAGAUUGUGUUGGUACAUCCGGGCUAAUAUGGAGCGUUAUAAAACAUCCUCUCUUGAAGUAGAAAAGAUUUUUGAGCGACAUUAACAAACACAAAUAAAUACCGGUGCUCAAUAGAUUUGGUUAUAUUCAAUCAGAUGGACAAACUUCGCCAUUGUGUCAGAGAAAUCUCCAGAUAAAACAAUGUCAGCCUUAUAGUUAGCACAGAGUUCACAGCUCGGGGUAGAAAGUGUUCACAUGUUAUUAAACGUUGUGGUCAAAAUCAGCAAACAAUUAGCAGUGAGGAGCAUGGACCAAAACCAACGCUUAGGAACACAUGCAUUUUAAGCAUAAUUUCAUCAAAUUUGAACUCGAACAGGCUGCGUUUCCUUUCGGAAAUACACAAGCAGACACUGAAAUUGAUGGAUCCAUCAGUUACAUUUAAGAGCGUUUAUAUUAACUUUUGAUUUGCCACAUUUACUAGUAACAUGCAGCAACUUUUUGGGACAACAUAGAUUAAAGGAAGUUUAUCGAUGAUAAUAAAAUGAUGAAAAAAGAAGAAAAUAACUCGGUUGGUGGAGGAAACUAUUUCCCCACUCUUCAGUUUUAAAGUGUCUUUAAACAGUUGAAUAUUAAAUUGAUCUCUGCAUCACGACAAACAUUAGUAAAUUUACAAAAUCAUGUACAUGUAUAAGCAUCGAGAAACUUUGGCAUGAAACGGUGUUUAAUGAUAAUCUUUGCCUCAAACUAUGUGCACCGUGAAACUUUGAAUAAUAAAAAAUACACUGUCAUAAAAAGCUUUAUCGAAGAAGAAGAAAUAUAUGUAUUAAAAUGGUAUCAUUGUC